GUGGGGAAUAUUGGUCAAUGGACGAAAGUCUGAACCAGCCAUGCCGCGUGGAGGAUGAAGGUCCUCUGGAUUGUAACUUCUUUUAUCUGGGACGAAAAAAGGUCUUUCUAGAUCGUCUGACGGUACCAGAUGAAUAAGCACCGGCUAACUCCGUGCCAGCAGCCGCGGUAAUACGGAGGGUGCAAGCGUUAUCCGGAUUCACUGGGUUUAAAGGGUGCGUAGGUGGGUUGGUAAGUCAGUGGUGAAAUCUUCGAGCUUAACUCGGAAACUGCCAUUGAUACUAUCAGUCUUGAAUAUUGUGGAGGUUAGCGGAAUAUGUCAUGUAGCGGUGAAAUGCUUAGAUAUGACAUAGAACACCAAUUGCGAAGGCAGCUGGCUACACAUAUAUUGACACUGAGGCACGAAAGCGUGGGGAUCAAACAGGAUUAGAAACCCCGGUAGUCC
rnacentral:rRNA from 1 species